rnacentral:rRNA from 1 species
GGUACCCGUACCGCAAACCGACACAGGUGGGUGAGGAGAGUAUCCUAAGGCCAGCGAGAGAACUGUUGUUAAGGAACUCGGCAAAAUGACCCCGUAACUUAGGGAUAAGGGGUGCCACCAUCAGGUGGCCGCAGAGAAUAGGCCCAAGCGACUGUUUACCAAAAACAUAGGUUUCUGCUAAGUCGCAAGACGAUGUAUAGGAGCUGACGCCUGCCCGGUGCUGGAAGGUUAA